UUGCUCGUCCAAUCACACGCGUCGUCUCGCAAGAACCGCGCGAUACACGAACAGACAAAGAAGUCGUCUUGCUUUCGACCAAAGAACACCAGGUGCUAGGUUGGUUCAAAGUUGAGAGCCAGUGCUUUUUUGGUUCAAAUCUCGUGCCGCCCCAGAACGGGUUUGUGUUUCCAUUCAGAAGGAGCAAAAUUGGAGCUGCGUCAUUGCGCCACCACAAAACGUGUGUACGUCACUGCGUACGUAGCCGUUCAACAGCGUUCACGCUGUACGGAAACCCACACAACAACAAUGGAGGACUUCAUUGGAGUGGUGUUCAUGGCUUUGCUAGUGUGUCUCGCCAUCGCUGAACAGCAAAACCUUCUGUUAGGGGUUACCCAUCGGCGUCGCCGUUCCAAUGCCCAGCGAUCACGUUUGAGAAGAAAGAUGUUUUUAGAUGUCACCCCGCCCUCUGCCCGUGACGUGCUCGGCUCUCAACUCUGGCCACCUCUGGCCCAGCAACGAGUUGGUGCCCGAAACGGCCCCAGAGUUUGGAGCCCGGAGCCGCAGCUCCGGUGGUCGAAACACAAAAAACCGGCGCCAAGUCGGGCGCCGGCUCCAACUCCGAACGGGCUCCACCCCGGUCGAAAAGAGGGAGUUUCUACAAUGGCGGCCCGGUAUCACCAGUCCGACUCACCACAAACUCCUCGCAUAGAACAGCCUGAACAUGACCGACUGGUUCCAGUCAGACCCGCGACAGACACUGAGAAGAAACUAUUGAGCGUUAUCAGCCGGCUGUCUGGCCAGAGAGGACCGCUGGAGGAGAAGCUGGAGGAGAGGAUAGCCGCCAUGGAAGCAAAAUUAAACACUUUCUCCAGCGGCGAGGAAAUUCAGCGGAAAAGAGGAGAGCACAGUCCUAAAAUUGCGACUGGGCUCACCUCACAAUGAGACAGUCAGGACAUAUUUAGUUAAAACUUUGGCUGAAGUCCAGAUGUGGAGGAUGUGGAGACAGACGUCCUUCUACCUGAUUGUAAAAAGCAUUUUGAAACUCUACGGAGGAACUACCGCUACAGUCAACCCAACAUGGCGGAUCAGGCGGAGGCCAUGAAGUCUUCUGCCCCGAGUCACCACAGAAGAAAGAGGCUGAUACCCUGACUUCAUGGAGGAGUUACUUCAUGGGUGAUCUGAACUACUGGGAGCAGGCUUGAUUGAACACAGUCUGACUGCUGCAGGAAGGAAGGACCUCCUUCAAACAUCGUGGGUGAAGCAGUCUGUCCCUGAAGGAGCUGCCGGUGAUGGUCCUGUUUCCUGCAGGGGGUGGGAGAUGUCCUCCAUGAUAGACAACAGCUUUGUCAUCAUCCUCCUGUCUACCACCAGCCCAGGACAGAGCUUGCUUUCUUAACCAGUUUCUUUAGUCUCUUCCUGUCUGCAGCCGUGAUGCUGCUGCUCCAGCAGACCAGUCCAUACAGGAUGGCUGAUACCACCACACAACCAUAAAAGGUCCUCAGAAUUGCUCCCUGCACCCCGAAGGACCUCAGUUUCCUGAGCAGUCGGAGUGUAAAGAAUUGAAGCUGUCAGAGGCUUUCUGUGGUGAAGAGGCUGCAGGACAUCAGCUGCUCCAACAGGUGACGCGUUUGUUCUUUGGCUCCAACCAGAACCAGCAAUAAAUCAGCAUGAGCUGCAGCUUAUCCACCUCAUAGAGUGUAUAAUAAAGAAACCAAGAGGUUUUAGUUGAUAGCUGUCUCUAGUGAAUGACCAGCAGUGUCUUGCUGAGGUUGUGAGGAGAAGUAAAAAGCUUACAGCACCUGGUAUUCCCAGGUAGUCUCCCAUCCAAAUACUAACCUGGCCCAACCCUGCUUAGCUUUGCAGAUCAGAUGAGAUUGGGUGUAUUCAGUGUCAGAAACAACCUCGCAUGAUUCAGAUCUCCACUCACACCUUUUAUUUGUUGUUUGGUUGCGCCAGUACUAAUUGAUAGCAUCAUUUAAGCAAAGUUAGAGCAACAUCUUGUAGGACACCUGGUGUAGGGGUAAGUUUUUUGCCUCUCAAAUCCACCUUAGUACCUUUAUUAUCUUCACUUCCUUAAUACUUUUGUGUACCAUCAUUUACGAAAACUAACAGCUAUACCCAGUAGGAAGGAUAGUGCAGUGGUAAGUUAUCUGCCUCUCAUCCAGGAGGUCCUUGGUUUGAAUCCAGCUCAAGGCUCUUUUUAAACUUUGGCUGCAUGACACCUCUUGCAACCAUCAUUACAACAAACUCCACCAGGGACCUUGUGUGAAAGAUAGCUCACACAGAGGGUGUAUGUCUGUCAUGUGGACGGGCAUGGUUCGAAUCCCCGCUGGGAACCUUGUGGAGGGUGAUUGUGGAGUGGAAAGGUUGUGGUCUGUGGUGUGGAGUGGAGUGUCACUGGACUGGAGUUCAAGGGUGGUUCCUGGAAAAAGGAAAACACGGAGAUUUACCCAUAAGCAAGGCAGCAAGGCAGCAAGGCAGCAAGGCAGCAAGGCAGCAAGGCAGCAAGGCAGCAAGGCAGCAAGGCAGCAAGGCAGCAAGGCAGCAAGGCAGCAAGGCAGCAAGGCAGCAA